AUUGAACGCUGGCGGAAUGCUUUACACAUGCAAGUCGAACGGCAGCACGGGUGCUUGCACCUGGUGGCGAGUGGCGAACGGGUGAGUAACAUAUCGGAACGUAUCCAAUAAUGGGGGAUAACUAAUCGAAAGGUUGGCUAAUACCGCAUACGCCCUACGGGGGAAAGCUAGGGACCUUCGGGCCUGGCGUUAAUGGAGCGGCCGAUAUCUGAUUAGCUAGUUGGUGGGGUAAUGGCCUACCAAGGCGACGAUCAGUAGCUGGUCUGAGAGGACGACCAGCCACACUGGAACUGAGACACGGUCCAGACUCCUACGGGAGGCAGCAGUGGGGAAUUUUGGACAAUGGGCGCAAGCCUGAUCCAGCCAUUCCGCGUGAGUGAAGAAGGCCUUCGGGUUGUGAAGCUCUUUCGCAAGGGAAGAAAACUUAUCCUCUAACAUAGGGUGAGGUUGACGGUACCUUGAUAAGAAGCACCGGCUAACUACGUGCCAGCCGCCGCCGUAAAAC
rnacentral:rRNA from 1 species